rnacentral:rRNA from 1 species
CUAAAACAGCGAGGAGGUGGGCCCAGAAGUAGCCAUCCUCCAAAGAGUGUGUAAAAACUCACUCGCCGAGGCGUGAGGUCCUGAAAAUGGACGGGGCUAAGCCGACUGCCGAGAUCGCGAAGCCCGAAAACGGGCUGGUAGGGAGGCGUUCGCGCUGGCCAGAAGCACGGCCGUGAGGUCGUGUGGACCGGCGUGAAGUGAGAAUCCUGGUGGAAGUAGCAGCAAAGAGGGGUGAGAAUCCCCUCCACCGAAAGGGCAAGGGUUCCUCGGCACCAAUCGUUGGCCGAGGGUGAGUCGGUCCUAAGGCGAUGCGUAACGCGCGUAGCCGAAAGGGAAACGGGUUAAUAUCCCCGUACCGUGGUAGUCCGCUGAUCCGCGCCUUCGCCUUGAGAUAGGCCGAGUGGAGCCGUCGCUUCAUUUUGCCUUGGAAACCGGGGGAAUACCGUAAUGGCUAGAUCCCGGCGAACGAGGUAAGGCCGCCCGCAAGGGUGGUUCGGUCAGGUCUUAGGGCCCAUGAAAAGGGUCGCGGUGAGGACGUCACGACCGUACCGAGAUCCGACACAGGUGCCCCUGGGUGAGAAGCCCGAGGUGUGUUGGGUGAGUCUGGGUUAGGGAACUCGGCAAAUUGGCCCCGUAACUUAGGGAUAAGGGGUGCCUGGGGGGUUGGGGCAACCCGGCCCUUCAGGUCUCAGUGACUAGGGGGACCUGACUGUUUACUAAAAACAUAGGUCCCUGCAAGACCGCAAGGUCGAGAACAGGGGCUGAAUCCUGGCCAAUGGCGGGACGUCAAACCCCGGUACAACGGGGCGAAGCGCCGCUUAAAGCCGGAGGUAACUCUGACCUUCUUAAGGUAGCCAAAUGCCUUGUCGGGCAAGUUCCGACGUGCAUGAAUGGAUCAACGAGGUCCCCACUGUCCCAACCCGGAGCCCAGCGAAGCUACGUGACCUGGCGCAUAGACCAGGAAACCCUGACUGGGAGAAAAGACCCCGUGGAGUUUUACUACAGCCUGUUGUUGAGGUGCGGUUGUGGAUGUAGAGCGCAGACGGGAGCAAUGUGGCCGCAAGGCUGAAGCGACAAUGGAACACCGUUCUUCCGCAAUUGCGCCCCUUACCCGCAAGGGGACACCAGCAGGUGGGUAGUUCGGCUGGGGCGGCACGCCUACGAUAAAGAAACAUAGGCGCCCAAAGGUUGGCUCAGGUGGUCUAGAAACCCACCGUAGAGGGCAAGGCCAAAAGCCAGCCUGAUUGGAUCCUCAACGGCAAGGGAUCCAAGAGCGAAAGCUUGGCCUAGCGAACGUCCGUGUCCCCCUCGCUGGGGGCCGAACAUGUCAGAAAAAUUACCCCGGGGAUAACAGAGUCGUCGCGGGCGAGAGUUCCCAUCGACCCCGCGGUUUGCUACCUAGAUGUCGGCUCUUCCCAUCCUGGAGGUGCAUAAGCCUCCAAGGGUAGGGCUGUCCGCCCGUUAAAGGGGAUCGUGAGCUGGGUUUAGACCGUCGUGAGACAGGUCGGCCUCCUCCUAUCAGGGUUGCUGGUCGCCUGAGGGGAAGACGCCCUCAGUACGAGAGGAACAGGGCGUCGUGGCCUCUGGUUUACCGGUUGUCCGACAGGGCAUUGCCGGGCAGCUACGCCAUGCGGGAUAACCGCUGAGUGCAUCUAAGCGGGAAGCCCAUCCCGAAAAUAGGCGACCAUGCCGUCAGGCACGAGGACACCCAUAGAAGAUGGGUUUGAUGGAGCGGAGGUGUAAGAGCCGAGGCGUAAGCCGAGGCUUUAAGCCUGCCGCCCCCAAUAGUCCGAGG